rnacentral:rRNA from 1 species
ACGGCUCAGUAACACGUAGUCAACAUGCCCAGGGGACGUGGAUAACCUCGGGAAACUGAGGAUAAACCGCGAUAGGUCAUAAUGUCUGGAAUGAUUUAUGGCUAAAAUCUACAUGGCCCCUGGAUUGGACUGCGGCCGAUCAGGCUGUUGGUGAGGUAAUGGCCCACCAAACCUAAAACCGGUACGGGCUCUGAGAGGAGAAGCCCGGAGAUGGGCACUGAGACAAGGGCCCAGGCCCUAUGGGGCGCAGCAGGCGCGAAAACUCUGCAAUAAGCGAAAGCUUGACAGGGUUAUUCUGAGUGAUUUCCGCUAAGGAGAUCUUUUGGCACCUCUAAAAAUGGUGCAGAAUAAGGGGUGGGCAAGCCUGGUGUCAGCCGCCGCGGUAAUACCAGCACCCCGAGUGGUCGGGACGAUUAUUGGGCCUAAAGCAUCCGUAGCCGGUUCUACAAGUCUUCCGUUAAAUCCACCUGCUUAACAGUUGGGCUGCAGAGGAUACUAUAGAGCUAGGAGGCGGGAGAGGCAAGCGGUACUUAGUGGGUAGGGGUAAAAUCCGUUGAUCCACUGAAGACCACCAGUGGCGAAGGCGGCUUGCCAGAACGCGCUCGACGGUGAGGGAUGAAAGCUGGGGGAGCAAACCGGAUUAGAUACCCGGGUAGUCCCAGCUGUAAACGAUGCAGACUCGGUGAUGAAUAGGCUUCGUGCCUAUUCAGUGCCGCAGGGAAGCCGUUAAGUCUGCCGCCUGGGGAGUACGGUCGCAAGACUGAAACUUAAAGGAAUUGGCGGGGGAG